UAUGUUGUAGACUAAUCGGUAAGUCAUAAAUUUUUGGUAUUUAGCUAUGAGUGUUCGAAUCACUUCAACAUAA
rfam:Pseudocercospora musae strain CBS 116634 scaffold638, whole genome shotgun sequence.